CCUACGGGGGGCUGCAGUAGGGAAUCUUCGGCAAUGGACGAAAGUCUGACCGAGCAACGCCGCGUGAGUGAAGAAGGUUUUCGGAUCGUAAAGCUCUGUUGUAAGUCAAGAACGUGUGUGAGAGUGGAAAGUUCACACAGUGACGGUAGCUUACCAGAAAGGGACGGCUAACUACGUGCCAGCAGCCGCGGUAAUACGUAGGUCCCGAGCGUUGUCCGGAUUUAUUGGGCGUAAAGGGAGCGCAGGCGGUCAGGAAAGUCUGGAGUAAAAGGCUAUGGCUCAACCAUAGUGUGCUCUGGAAACUGUCUGACUUGAGUGCAGAAGGGGAGAGUGGAAUUCCAUGUGUAGCGGUGAAAUGCGUAGAUAUAUGGAGGAACACCAGUGGCGAAAGCGGCUCUCUGGUCUGUCACUGACGCUGAGGCUCGAAAGCGUGGGUAGCGAACAGGAUUAGAUACCCCUGUAGUC
rnacentral:rRNA from 1 species